rnacentral:hammerhead_ribozyme from 1 species
ACCCAGCUGACGAGUCCCAAAUUGGACGAAACACGCGUCCUUGAU